GUGCUCGGUAUCCUUUUGUGGAGAUGGAGACAGUGCUCCAAAGAACCACUUCAAAGCAGGUCAGAGGCAGAGAUGAAUCAGAUGGAGACGUCUUCUCCUCCACCAGCUGAUGAGGUGACUUACGUUGACUUGAACUUCCACAAAAGGGAUGCAAAAGCGGAGGAAGAGGUUGU